CAUGAAGCUGGAAUCGCUAGUAAUCGCAGGUCAGCAUACUGCGGUGAAUACGUUCCCGGGUCUUGUACACACCGCCCGUCACACCAUGGGAGCCGGAAAUGCCCGAAGCCAGUGACCCAACCUUAGGGAGGGAGCUGUCGAAGGUGGAGCCGGUAACUGGGUGAAGUCGUAACAAGGUACC
rnacentral:rRNA from 1 species